AUUGAACGCUGGCGGCAGGCUUAACACAUGCAAGUCGAGCGAGCGGCGGACGGGUGAGUAAUGUCUGGGAAACUGCCCGAUGGGGGGGGAUAACUACUGGAAACGGUAGCUAAUACCGCAUACCAUCAGAUGAACCCAUAUGGGAUGAGCGUGUAGGUGAGGUAACGGCUCACCUAGGAGACGAUCCCUAGCUGGUCUGAGAGGAUGAUCGUCCACACUGGAACGGAGACACGGCCCAGACUCCUACGGGAGGCAGAAGUGGGGAAUAUUGCACAAUGGGCGCAAGCCUGAUGCAGACAUGCCGCGUGUAUGAAGAAGGCUUUCGGGUUGUAAAGUACUUUCAGUCGGGAGGCGUUACCGGCAGAAGAAGCACCGGCUAACUCCGUGCCAGCAGCCGCGGUAAUAC
rnacentral:rRNA from 1 species